rnacentral:misc_RNA from 1 species
UAUAUGGGACAAACUUUCUGAAUUGGUAUGGCUUUCAAGCUCAAUUGGUUGUCACUAACCCUGAGUUGGUCCAAGAGGUGCUGAACAAUAAGGAGGGAGCGUACCAAAAAAAAUUUAUCCAAAAUUAUGCAGAUAAAUUCUUAGGAGAUGGACUUUUAGCUUCUCAAGGUGCAAAAUGGUUGAAAAUGCGAAAAAUUGCUAAUCAUGCUUUCCAUGGAGAGAGCUUGAAACGUAUGAUUCCAGCGAUGGUUGCCAGUGUUGAGACAAUGCUUGAGAGAUGGAGACAGAAUGAAGUGAAGGAGACUGAGGUGUUCCAAGAAUUCAAAGUUCUAACUUGUGAAAUUAUUUCCAGGACAGCUUUUGGAAGCAGUUACCUGGAAGGGAAGAACAUAUUUGAUUUGCUGGCAAGGAUGGCUAGCAUUGUUUCCAGAAACAAUUUUAAAGUUGGAAUUCCAGGGAUUAGAAAAUUCUUGAAAACUCGUGAUGAUACUGAAUCAGAGGAACUUGAGCAAGGCAUCCGAGACUCCAUCAUAAAGUUGAUAAACAGAAGAGAGGAGGGGCUGCUGAUGGGUGAACAUGAUAGUUAUGGGAAUGAUUUUCUUGGAUUACUUUUAAAUGCUCAUCAUGAUAAUGAUGAGGAAAAGAAGAUAUCAGUAGAUGACCUGAUUGAUGAGUGUAAGACCUUUUAUGUUGCUGGACAUGAAACAACUGCAAGCUCACUCACUUGGACUGUUCUUCUUUUAGCAAUUCACUCAGAUUGGCAAGACAAAGCAAGGGAGGAGGUUCUCAAAUUAUUUGGCAAACAAAAUCCUAGUCCUGAUGGUAUUGGAAGAUUGAAAAUUAUGAGCAUGAUUAUUAAUGAAUCCUUGCGUCUGUACCCUUCGGUUUUCAAUAUCACAAGGGAAGUUCAAAAAGAAGUCAGAUUGGGGAAGAUAAUCAUUCCAGAGAAGAUGGCUGUGUGUCUUCCAAUUCUUGCUGUUCAUGACAAUUCACAAGUAUGGGGAGAAGAUGCUCAUUUCUUCAAACCAGAAAGAUUUGCAGAUGGGGUUGCCAAAGCUACAAAAAAUAAUACAUCAGGAUUUUUCUCAUUUGGUUCAGGGCCCCGAUCUUGCGUUGGCUUGAAUUUUGCAACAACAGAAAUAAAGAUUGCACUGUCUAUGAUUCUGCAGAACUACAAGUUUACUCUGUCACCUACUUAUCUCCAUUCACCAGUCCACAUCCUGACAAUAUGCCCACAAUACGGACUUCAAAUCAUGCUCGAGGCCUUGUAGAUUAAAGCUUCAGGUUUAUGCUUGUAUUUACUUGAACCCCAGCAGCCAAUAGUGAAGUUGCCAAUGCUAAUAAGUUUUUGGUGGAAAUUGUGGGCAAAGCACUUAGCCCUACAUAAAAUCUACAAUAGAUAAAGUCUCUCUGCAAUUUAUCAUGGCUAGCAACUUGGGAAUUAUAAGAAAGCUUUAGUUAAGGCUUUGAAGCAAAAGGACAAGCUUUGAAGCUCAUGUUAUGUAGGAUUCCAUCAUGGUAGCAUGCUUGUUCCUUCCCUUGCGCUAA